AGGACGAACGCUGGCGGCGUGCUUAACACAUGCAAGUCGAGCGGAAAGGCCCUUCGGGGUACUCGAGCGGCGAACGGGUGAGUAACACGUGAGCAACCUGCCCCUGGCUCUGGGAUAGCUCCGGGAAACCGGGAUUAAUACCGGAUAUGACCUUCCGUUGCAUGACGGCGGGUGGAAAGUUUUUCGGCUGGGGAUGGGCUCGCGGCCUAUCAGCUUGUUGGUGGGGUAAUGGCCCACCAAGGCAACGACGGGUA
rnacentral:rRNA from 1 species